rnacentral:lncRNA from 1 species
GGGUAGAUAGGUGGAGAACCAACUGACAUGGUGUGGGCAUGUCUAAAAUUUGGAGAAUGCCAAAUGAUGAGAUAGGUUAAAUCAAGGUUUUUCAUCUCGGUACUGGACUAUGUAUUGGUACCAUCCUAUUAUAAUAUCGAUAUGUGGUGCAGUACGAGAUGACAUGGUGUACCGAAUGCUGGUGUGGUACCAGAUAGUGUACUGAUUUGGUAUUGAUACAGUACAUCCAGUAUGGUACCAAUUGAUACUGCGAACCUUGGUUUAAAUUUUGCAUAAAAAAGUUUAGGAAAGCGAAAGGAAAUACUGGUAAUAACAUAGAUGG